AUUGAACGCUGGCGGCAGGCCUAACACAUGCAAGUCGAGCGGUAGCACAGAGAGCUUGCUCUCGGGUGACGAGCGGCGGACGGGUGAGUAAUGUCUGGGAAACUGCCUGAUGGAGGGGGAUAACUACUGGAAACGGUAGCUAAUACCGCAUAACGUCGCAAGACCAAAGUGGGGGACCUUCGGGCCUCAUGCCAUCAGAUGUGCCCAGAUGGGAUUAGCUAGUAGGUGGGGUAACGGCUCACCUAGGCGACGAUCCCUAGCUGGUCUGAGAGGAUGACCAGCCACACUGGAACUGAGACACGGUCCAGACUCCUACGGGAGGCAGCAGUGGGGAAUAUUGCACAAUGGGCGCAAGCCUGAUGCAGCCAUGCCGCGUGUGUGAAGAAGGCCUUCGGGUUGUAAAGCACUUUCAGCGGGGAGGAAGGCGGUGAGGUUAAUAACCUCAUCGAUUGACGUUACCCGCAGAAGAAGCACCGGCUAACUCCGUGCCAGCAGCCGCGGUAAUACGGAGGGUGCAAGCGUUAAUCGGAAUUACUGGGCGUAAAGCGCACGCAGGCGGUCUGUCAAGUCGGAUGUGAAAUCCCCGGGCUCAACCUGGGAACUGCAUUCGAAACUGGCAGGCUAGAGUCUUGUAGAGGGGGGUAGAAUUCCAGGUGUAGCGGUGAAAUGCGUAGAGAUCUGGAGGAAUACCGGUGGCGAAGGCGGCCCCCUGGACAAAGACUGACGCUCAGGUGCGAAAGCGUGGGGAGCAAACAGGAUUAGAUACCCUGGUAGUCCACGCUGUAAACGAUGUCGAUUUGGAGGUUGUGCCCUUGAGGCGUGGCUUCCGGAGCUAACGCGUUAAAUCGACCGCCUGGGGAGUACGGCCGCAAGGUUAAAACUCAAAUGAAUUGACGGGGGCCCGCACAAGCGGUGGAGCAUGUGGUUUAAUUCGAUGCAACGCGAAGAACCUUACCUGGUCUUGACAUCCACAGAACUUUCCAGAGAUGGAUUGGUGCCUUCGGGAACUGUGAGACAGGUGCUGCAUGGCUGUCGUCAGCUCGUGUUGUGAAAUGUUGGGUUAAGUCCCGCAACGAGCGCAACCCUUAUCCUUUGUUGCCAGCGGUCCGGCCGGGAACUCAAAGGAGACUGCCAGUGAUAAACUGGAGGAAGGUGGGGAUGACGUCAAGUCAUCAUGGCCCUUACGACCAGGGCUACACACGUGCUACAAUGGCAUAUACAAAGAGAAGCGACCUCGCGAGAGCAAGCGGACCUCAUAAAGUAUGUCGUAGUCCGGAUUGGAGUCUGCAACUCGACUCCAUGAAGUCGGAAUCGCUAGUAAUCGUAGAUCAGAAUGCUACGGUGAAUACGUUCCCGGGCCUUGUACACACCGCCCGUCACACCAUGGGAGUGGGUUGCAAAAGAAGUAGGUAGCUUAACCUUCGGGAGGGCGCUUACCACUUUGUGAUUCAUGACUGGGGUGA
rnacentral:rRNA from 1 species